GACGUAGGGGGCCAGCGUUGUUCGGAAUUACUGGGUGUAAAGGGUUCGUAGGCGGUGUGGCAAGUCGGGGAGUGAAAUCUCUGGGCUCAACCCAGAGACUGCUUCCGAAACUGCUGUGCUUGAGUGUGAGAGAGGCUCGUGGUGAAUUGCAGGUGUAGCGGUGAAAUGCGUAGAUAUCUGCAGGAACACCCGUGGCGAAAGCGGCGAGCUGGAUCACUACUGACGCUGAGGAACGAAAGCUAGGGGAGCAAACAGG
rnacentral:rRNA from 1 species